CUUACGUGAGUCAACAAAAUGACUACUGCUGAUGAUGUCCAUAAUGUCCCUAAAAAUGGAGCUUAGUGGUUUGAAAUUAAACAUCCUCCAAAAAAAAAAUAUGUAUAUACAUAUGUAUGCUACUGAUUUUAUUAAGUAUAAAAGUCAUAUAAAAUGUGCUAAGGAGACUCUUUCUCGUUUCCUUUCCCUAGCUUUCAUUUUCCGAGAAGUCCACACCCAAAGGUGAAUCAGAUCUAACGUCAGACAUCUUAUUCUGCUCAACGCGACAGUUGAAUUGACGGCAGUGUCCUGUCCUACAGACAUUAUCCUGAGAGAUAAAAGGCUGACCAUGUAUGCAAUUGUUACCUUGCAAGACUCAGAUGAGGUGAUGGUGGUAGCAUCAAACUGGCUGAGCCUAGACAAGAAACAAUGUUGCUGGCCCCCAUUCAAAUCCACAGAGAAGUGGAUGGAAGCUGUUCAGAACAAACUUAAGCCUGAAACAGGAGGGAAACCAUGGGAGAAACUAAACAUUAGCUUUCACAGAGAAUGUGUCACUUUUGAGAAGGCAAAAGAGGGGCAAAAAGAAAUCAAAGAACAGAAAGAACGGCCAUAUCUAUUAGCCACUGGGUUCUCUGGAAUGCUAAAAAGACAGAGACUUGAAAGCACUCAAGGAAUGUCAAAUAAUCAGCUACAACCACUUCCUGCAGUAACACCUGCAUCUACAUCCAGAAUGUCAGCUAAUGACAAGGAUGAGCUCCUCCAAAUGCUGAGAGACAUCAAGAGCACAGUUCAGGAAAACUCUGCUAUGUUAAAGAAACUACUAAAAGACAAUGCGGUUUCUGAAGCCCCCAGCAGUACAAGUGUGCCUUCAAAAGACAUUAAAGCAAACAUAAAACUGCCUCUUAGAACCUUUGAAGAUGUGGCCAGGACUGAAAGAGAGCUCAAUACCACAACAACACGGAAAAAAUAUGUAAAAUAUUUGUCAGGGCUUGAAGGUUUUGGGCCCAAGGAUGUGAUUAAGAAUAUUAUGCAGCAAGUCAUAACAGAUGAUCUGGCUAAGGAGUUCAACUGGCAGGGGAGAGGAGAUAAAAGACCCUUCUCUCAUCUUAUUUUAACAGAUGUGAUCAGAGAUGCUGCAUUCAAACGAAGUGUAAACAGGGUUGAGUGUGAAACAGAAAUAAAAAAAUAUCUGAGUUACACAGCUGAUCGACUCGGUCGGAAGAGACCAAGAGAACAAGGAGGUCCUGGGCAUGAGAUUCCAAAUGUGAUUUCUACCUCACUAAUGGACAACUAGCCAGAGAAGGAAAUAUCUUGGAACAUUUUUGAUGAAUGAUGAAUUUUGAUCAUCAAUCAUAGGUCAUGAAGACCUUAUUAAAGUUAUACCACAUUAAACAUACAUUUUUUGAAAUUUAUUUCACUUUGACAUUACUUUUCGUGCAGGGAAGGGCAGUGAUCAGGAAGGAAGGGUCCAGGUAAGAGGCGGAGUCCGGCGGCCGCACGCGCUCCCCUCUCCAGCCCGGGACGCGAGGGGCGGCGGCUUCUUCCAGCGGCGGCAUCCUUCUCGCCUUGGCCCCGGCGUGUGAAGGGACUAGACGGCACA
ensembl:lncRNA uncharacterized LOC107670006